GUUAUUUGAGGUGGUAAAUUGUGUCAACCACACACCUUAUAGGUCAAAAGAGAUGUAGGAAAUGAUACACCUACCAAAUAAC
rnacentral:ncRNA from 12 species